GACGGGGACCCGCACAAGCGGUGGAUGAUGUGGAUUAAUUCGAUGCAACGCGAAAACCUUACCACCCUUGACAUGCCAGGAACUUGCCAGAGAUGGCUUGGUGCCCGAAAGGGAGCCUGGACACAGGUGCUGCAUGGCUGUCGUCAGCUCGUGUCGUGAGAUGGUUGGGUUAACGUCCCGCAACGAGCGCCAACCCUUGCCAUUAGUUGCUACAUUUAGUUGAGCACUCUAAUGGGACUGCCGGUGACAAACCGGAGGAAGGUGGGGAUGACGUCAAGUCCUCAUGGCCCUUAGUGGGUAGGGCUUCACACGUCAUACAAUGGCGGAUACAGAGGGUUGCCCAACCCGCGGAGGGGGAGCCAAUCCCAGAAAGUCCGUCGUAGUCCGGAUUGUAGUCUGCAACUCGACUACAUGAAGUCGGAAUCGCUAGUAAUCGCGGAUCAGCAUGUCGCGGUGAAUACGUUCCCGGGUCUU
rnacentral:rRNA from 1 species